ACAAAUAAAGAAAUCAAAAUAUGCUGUGUCUCAGGAUCAUUGGGAUGGGACAAACCCCCUGGGAUCAUUGGUCCAGCUGCUCUCCCACCACUGCCCCGUGUCCCCAGGUGCCACAUCCACAUUCUUUAAACCCCUGCAGGGAUGGGGACUCCACCACUGCCCUGGGCAGCCUGCACAACCUUCCAGGGAAGAAACACAGUUUAAUCCUUCUGUUCCCCUUCUGGUUUGUAUCAUUUGUUCCAAUCACAUCCUGCUUAAUUUUCCAGGAAUCACAGUGUUCAUUCACUUUCCCUCUGCCUAAAAAUUCUUUUUUCUUUUUUUUCCUCUGGUAAAACAAGGCUCCUUUAUCCAAUUUCCAAGCUGUGUUUCAUUCCCCUUUCACCAUCCACCUGAUCCCUUUUGUGAUGCCAGGAGUGCUGCUCGUCCAUGAGAAAUCUGCAGAGCAGCAGAGAACUUUCCUGUCUCUCCCCUGGAGCACGCCAGGAAUCCACACAGCUUCCAUGGACACAGGGGAGGAGCAGGAGAGGGGAGUCAAGAGGAGAUUUGAUAUCACCAGAAAUCCCAAGAGCUGGGAAAGCCCUGGGAGUGCAGCCAGACCUUCCAGGAGGAGCCUGGACGGGCCCCUGAGCUCAGCACCCAUCCCCUGGCAGCUCCCAUGGGUGCUGAGGAGAGCAGGCACCCUGCUGGGCUGGGACCACCAUCCCCGUGAGGGAAUUCUCUCUCAUUCUUUGCUGCUGCCAUUCCAGCUUCCCCUCUGCUCCUUUUGCAGCUGCUGUGUGAUUGCCUCGCCUUGGAGUUUGCCCAAAUUCCAGUUUUUCCAGAGUUUUUUCUGUUUUAUUUAGAGCUUUUCCAAGUGGUUCCUUGCAGAUGUGGGGUCCCUAAAUGCUGGUAAUCCUCUUCCUCCACCCUGGGAGAUGGUGACUGCUCCUGCCACUGUGGGACUGAAGCACCAGGAGUGGCUCUGGGGGCAAACCACAGUGGAUGUGUUCUGGAUCUUCUUUGGGGAGCACAGAAGGAGUUAAAUAAACCAGAGCGGGAAGGACAUUCCCAAAUCCAUAAAGCACAAGAUUGGCAUUCUGUCUGCAUACAAAUAACUUGGAUUAGCAGGAUGUGCCAUUGCUUUCACCAUAAAAAUAUCCACUCUCACAUUAUUUUAAGACACUUUCAAAAUAGAGUGGAGUUAAAAUAUUUGUUUUAAACUAUCCAGGGAUCCUUGCACAAUCUUUUUGAUUGCUUUUUAUAGUCCUUCUCCACCCUGAGUCAUUCAGCAGUUCCCUUUCCUGAAAUACCAGUGGUAACUCUCUCUCCAUCUCUGUGAUGGAUGUUUGUGUGAAUUCAGCUCGCUCCUCACAGCGAAGCCUUGCAGCACUGCCUCUCCACUUUGGGACAAAUGCAGCCUAAACGGGGGUUUAGAUAAAAUAUUGGGGCAAGAAGGUUACCCAGAGCAGCUGUGGCUGCCCCUGGAUCCUGGCAGUGCCCAAGGCCAGGUUGGACACUGGGGCUGGAGCAGCCUGGGACAGUGGGAGGUGUCCCUGCCAUGGCAGGGGUGGCACUGGGGGGGAUUUAAGGUCCCUCCCACCCCAAACCCUUCUGGGAUUCCCUGAUCACUGUGGGAAGUUUUUAAUUCACCACAUUUCACGUUCCACACCCUUUCUUAUGGACCCUGACAUUUCACUGUUCAUGCAAAAGGCUUUGAAUGGCAGGAGGGACUUCAUGGAGCUCCUCCCCUGUCACUCAGGAGAACCUGGGAGCUGCUCCUCUGAAUGUGGCUCUGUUUUCAUUUGUCUCUCUCAUAGCCAAAGGUAACAUCACAAUCUGUUCUUUCCUUGCUUUUAUAAAUUGAAUGUCCAGUUUCCUCCUGGCUUCCCUCAGGAGCAUUUGAGUGAAAUUGUUUUCCUGUCCUACAAAACACUUCAGAAUCUCUCCUUCCCCAAACUGAGGUUUCACCACCUCCCCUGUUUAUGGCCUCUGGAGCAAUGGCCACAGCUCAUCAAGCAGCAGAUGAUGUUCUCUAAAAAGGAGGAGAAAAAGCUCCUUCUGCCUAAUUAUCCUGAGAGGAGCGUGUUGGGCAGGCAGGGGAGCCCUGCCAGGAGGCACCAAGUGACACCAGAGACCUGUGACAGUGCUGCACCUUCAGCCUGCAGCUCUGAGGGGGGGAAUGGGGUUUAUGUGUUAAACUCAUUCAGGGCUCUCUGCUGUGGGUGACUGAAUUUUUCAACAAAAAUCCCUCUCUGGUGGUUUCCUGCCCUCUGCUCUCCCACUGUAAUUAGCCAGCUCCUGACUCUGCACACCGGGUGUUUAAUGUGGGGGAGGAGGGGGCGGAACAGCUCAAUUAAUUAAGCCAAGUUGUAGCAGAUCAUCAUCAUUUUUCAAGGUGUCAGUUGAGAUCUCUGGGAGCGCUGCAGAUGAGGCAGGACCCCCUGGGAAUUCAGGCUCAGCUCCCAUCCCAGCCUUUCCCAGCCUCUGGAAAUGCCUGGCACAGCUUCACGUUAACCCCACAGCAGCCAGAAAGGAUAUUUGCAGGAUUGUCCUGAAAGUCGUGAUUUCCAGCCCUGUGAUCCAGAAAAUACCUCAGUGAACCCCAGAGUUUUCCUGCUGCUGUGCAGAAAGGAUUUUUGUGGGGCUUUGAAAAAGUCAGUUGCAAACUAAAAAAUUUAGCUGUAAUUAAACCAUGGAAUGCUGCAGUUGGAGCAGGAAAGGAGGGGAAGGCAGCAAAGCAAAGAUCUCACAUGAAGCACAGAGAUAAAUGUGAAUUUUGUGGGGGAUUUUACGUGUCCAGGUAAGAAACUCUCUGGGUUUAUGCCCAGCUUAAUUAGUAUGCAGCCACACCAAUUUCUGGUUUGCAUCUCUGCUUUAUC